rnacentral:rRNA from 1 species
AGAGUUGAUCAUGGCUCAGGAUGAACGCUAGCGGCAGGCUUAACACAUGCAAGUCGAGGGGCAGCGGGAUGUAGCAAUACAUUGCCGGCGACCGGCGGAUGGGUGCGUAACGCGUAUGCAACCUACCUUAUACAGGGGAAUAACCUUUCGAAAGGGAGACUAACACCCCAUGGUAUUGAUUUAAGGCAUCUUAGGUUAAUUAAAUAUUUAUAGGUAUAAGAUGGGCAUGCGUAUGAUUAGCUAGUUGGUAAGGUAACGGCUUACCAAGGCGACGAUCAUUAGGGGUUCUGAGAGGAAGGCCCCCCACACUGGUACUGAGACACGGACCAGACUCCUACGGGAGGCAGCAGUGAGGAAUAUUGGUCAAUGGGCGCAAGCCUGAACCAGCCAUGCCGCGUGCAAGGAAGACGGCCUUAUGGGUUGUAAACUGCUUUUACAUAAGACUAACCGUAUAUUUGCGAAUAUACCUGAAUGUAUUAUGAGAAUAAGGAUCGGCUAACUCCGUGCCAGCAGCGGC